rnacentral:rRNA from 1 species
GACGAACGCUGGCGGCGUGCUUAACACAUGCAAGUCGUACGGUAAGGCCCUUUCGGGGGUCCACGAGUGGCGAACGGGUGAGUAACACGUGAGUAACCUGCCCACAACUUUGGGAUAACGCUAGGAAACUGGUGCUAAUACUGGAUAUGUGCUCCUGCUGCAUGGUGGGGGUUGGAAAGCUCCGGCGGUUGUGGAUGGACUCGCGGCCUAUCAGCUUGUUGGUGGGGUAGUGGCCUACCAAGGCGGCGACGGGUAGCCGGCCUGAGAGGGUGACCGGCCACAUUGGGACUGAGAUACGGCCCAGACUCCUACGGGAGGCAGCAGUGGGGAAUAUUGCACAAUGGGCGCAAGCCUGAUGCAGCAACGCCGCGUGCGGGAUGACGGCCUUCGGGUUGGAAACCGCUUUCAGCAGGGACGAAGCUUUUUGUGACGGUACCUGCAGAAGAAGCACCGGCUAACUACGUG